rnacentral:lncRNA from 1 species
CUCCUGCUGUAUGCGCUGGGGGCCGCGGAGGGCGGGCAGAGCUGGCGGGGAAGCCACACGACCAAGCGGGGCUCCGCUGGGACCUUUAUUCUCAAAGGGACAACAGGGAAGAGACCCAGCCUAGGAAGUCUGCAGCUGAGACAGGACCUUGUGCCCGGAACACCGAGUUCGGGGACAGCGAAGCCCAGGGCUGGUGCCCCCGUGUCACAGGACUGCACAGAAACCCGACAGCCUGGCCCCCGGCCCAUCAGGUGUCACCGUGCGCUGGUCGCCUGCCUCCGCAGAGUCCCCGCCCGCCACCGCCACCGAGCUGCCGUCAGGGCUGCGCUCACCAGAAGCUGGAAGGAGACAAGGAGGCGGGCAGGUGAGCCAAGCUUCACCGCGGCCUCUGUGGUCAGGCCUCGUCACCCGAGCCCGGCCCCAGGACCGAAGGCUCAGCACGGGCGCUCUGGGCCUCCUGUCCCACCUCCCGGCAGGAGCAUGUUCCUCGCCGAGGCUGAACUGCCCGCCCAGACCUCGGCCUCAUCACUCUUGUAUUUCCUGUCCCCCCUGGUGUCACCCUUUGGGUCACCUGCCAGGUCAGGUCUCUACCUGGACGUGACCCACAGCACAGCUCGAGUCUCCCGACUGUGCUGGCCCUGGGACUAUCUACGGGUCGGCACAUGGGUACCACGCAGGCCCAGGGUCAACCUAGGACGGCCACAGCUCACCGUCGGCCCCUCGGGGCCUCGUCUGUCCUCAUCUGGCAAGUGAGGAGACGAUGACUACACCUGCCUCCCCGGCUUGUUGUAACCAGUCAACGAGAUGGUUUACAUAAAGGGAUUAAUACAACGGUAACACUCGAGAUGCCGGUUCUUAGUCUAAGUAUGGAAGGGAGCCCAGAGACCAGGCGGGGGGGUGGGGGGAUGCAGCCACCCCGGACCCGGAGCCAACGGAAACCAGAAGGCUGACGGAAGGCCCUGUCUCCACCUCAUCCUGCGCUCCCUGCGGUUUCACUAGGAAAGGUUUGCAUCUAAGGUUCUCAACUCCUGUAUCAUCCCGGUUCCUUUUCCUUUGUCUUUACGCUAAUCAUUGUUCCAGACACAUUUGAGCUCAGAGAGGUUCACAUACUAGGUUUGUGGGUCUAAGCUUCUAGAAAUCAGGAAACGCAGGACGGCUUCUACCUUCAGCCUUCUGUUCCUGCUUCAGCCUCCUUCCCGAACCGGGAUCAGUGACUAACCCUGUUCUCGGAUCCUGAGACCAUCUGCUAAUGUGCUGGUGGGUAAGGAAUAAGUGGGGAUACACGUGUGCAAAAACUGGGGCUACGGGGCCUGCCCCAGGCUCUCCUUGUCUCUGGCCCAGGAUGAGGUGAGGAUUUGGGAAGAGACCCUGGAGCACACAAGGGAGGAGAUGGUGGGGCCACUGGUAGCUCCGGGUGACGACUCACGCGGAGCAUUCAGUUCACGUGUAAGCUGGGGCUACUCUGGCAAGGAAUCAGGCUCGGAAGACCCUCAAACGUGGCAUUUUGUAGGGUAUCCCCAUUUUGUAGGGAGCGACAGAGGUGCAGAUGUGAGCUACACGGUCAUCCCGGCUCGAGGGUACCUCCUCCCCCCUCCCACGCUGCCUUGCAAAACACGGAAUCAUGCUCAGCACUCUUUUAUGCUUUUUAGAAAUAAUUAUUCGGAUACGGCUGUUGUGGGUUGUGUGUUUUGCUAACUCUCUACAAGUUUCGUCAUUCCAAAUACCCUCUAACCCUUCGCUUUGGAUCACAGAGGCUACUGCGGUAUAGCUUCUCCUUGAAAUAUAAGCACUAGAACCACUCUUACAGGAACUGAACUUUUCCAAAACAGAAAAAUCUGCAAGAUCAGUGAUAAGGACAUGUUUGAAAAGUCUGAGAUCAGUUUUGUUGUGAGAUCACGGCACACGGAAGGGAGAGGAGCUGAUUACAGACAGAAACGCAGUGAUCUCUGUUGAGAAGACAGGACUCCCCCCGCACCCCGGAGGUGCCUGUCACUGCCCAUCAACACCAUCAGCACUAAAGGGGCAACUGACCUCUCCUCAUCCAAUGUCCCAUGGUGCCUCAGUUUCUCCAGAUGUAAGAGGCUUGCUACACGAUACAUCUACCUCCCCCUCAGCCCACAGGGAUGUUCUGAGACCCGGUAAGAGAAAACCUCCGCAAGACAGAGCCGUGCACGCCAAGGUGUGUUUCGUGUCUUUGGAGGGGUACCAACAGUGGGGCCGGCCUGACAGAACAUAAGCUGAACAAGAGGGGACUCCAACAAAGGAAGCCCUUUACGUUAGCUGUCCACAGGCAGGCUCCAGGGUGAGGUGCCCCCGCUUCCAGAAAGCACCAGAAUUUCUUUGCAGCAAAGACAACUCCUCUAUUUUCUGGCUUUACCUCUCACAGAGAGUUUUGGGAGUAAAUUCAACACCAGGAAAGAGUAUCUCUCAGACCCUUUAGCCUCACCGUUAUUCAACACCUUCUCGUGUUUUUCUUCCUUCUAACUUCUCUUCUCAAGAAUUUUUCCAUUUACUUUCCUCGCCCACCCACCCCCCGCCCCGCUUUGUGUCUCUGGCUCCCACAGUAGGUUUUUCUCUCUUCUAACUAGGAUCUUUUUUUUUUUUUUUUUUUUUUUACUUUUCUGGAUUAUGUCUUCUUAACUGUGGUCCUCUUUCUCCUCCAUUUCUACCCACAUUUUUCUUGCACUUUUAUUAAACUCUUCUUUCUCCUUCCCUUUUCUGUCCUUGAGGAAAAAGUCCCUGAUGGACAAGGAGAAAAUAUUGGCCAGCGAGCACCACGUUGGGAGAACUGAGACAGCUACGACUGGAGCUAAUGGGCCAAACACGGGCCCCGUCAGUUUGAGACAGUGCUGCCCGAUGAUCCAAACAGGACUUGAUCGGCCUGGAACUGAGACUCUCCUGGAAUUUCUGCACAUCUAUGUUUGACAUCUUACUCCAAUCCAACUCCACGCUCCAGAUGGAGGAAUAAUUUCCUUGUUUGCUUGAGAUGAAUUUGCACUCUUCUUUUGCUUCUAGAAGGCCAUUGCUCCCAGCCCCCAAGGGCUGCCUGUUAGUACCAUCACUUUGCAGCAAUGAGUGCUCAUUACUGUGCCGAGUUGGAAAAUGCAGCAUCUUGGUUGGUUAGGUUUUCUGACUGAGGAUUCCAAUGCACGUCUUCCAGGGAUUAGUGAUAUCUAGACACCUGAGGGCAUCACACACCAAAACUGAGGUUCAACUUGGCUAGUCUUGGGAAACUCAGAGGCAUCUGUAGGGCUCCCAGAACAUCAGGGACAUCACAGACGUAUUACAGGUUUGCAAAAGCGCGAAAUAAUUGCAGUUUCUGGGACGCCUGGGUGGCUCAGCGGUUGAGCGUCUGCCUUCGGCUCAGGUCAUGACCCCGGGAUCCCGGAUGGAGUCCCACAUUGGGUUCCCUUCAUGGAGCCUGCUUCUCCCUCUGUCUCUGCCUCUCUCUCAUGAAUAAAUAAAUUAAAUCUUUUAAAAAAUUGCCAUUUGUAAAAGGUGACUUCUGGUGCACGACACACAAGUCAUGGGGGAUACAAGUUACCAGGUCAGGCAUGUUGUGUCUUUUUAAAAAUUUUAAAUUUUAAAAAUUUUAAAAAUUUUCCUCUCCUGUUUUGAAAUGCAUUUAAACAUUCCAAGGAAAGAAAUCGACCAGGUUAUAAAACAGUGUAUGCAUGAGAAUCCCAAUUUUGUAAAGAGAAACACACAUGUGUACACAUGCACACAGACCCUCACGUACCUAAGUUUGGCAGAUAAGCAACCAAAACUUGGUAGUGGUCUCUCUGAUGGAAUCACGGGGUUUUUGCUUUCUUCUUUAGACUUAUCUGCACUUUAUGGUUUUAAAAUGAUGAUAAUAAUUCAAUAGUCCUCCUGUAACAUAAACGAACAGACAGUCCAGGGAAGAAUCAAAAGCAGCACAGAAACCCACUUCCGAAUCUGUUAAGAGUGAAUUAAGCGGCUGUAAAAGACAUCUUCCCGUUUGGAAAACUGCUGCUGGUAGAGCGCGGUCAACUGUAAAAUUGGGGGACGCUGUAGCGCAGCAGUGAGA